GACGAACGCUGGCGGCGUGCUUAACACAUGCAAGUCGAACGGAAAGGCCCUGCUUUUGUGGGGUGCUCGAGUGGCGAAAGGGUGAGUAACACGUGAGUAAACUGCCCUUGACUUUGGGAUAACUUCAGGAAACUGGGGCUAAUACCGGAUAGGAGCUCCUGCUGCAUGGUGGGGGUUGGACAGUUUCGGCGGUUGGGGAUGGACUCGCGGCUUAUCAGCUUGUUGGUGGGGUAGUGGCUUACCAAGGCUUUGACGGGUAGCCGGCCUGAGAGGGUGACCGGCCACAUUGGGACUGAGAUACGGCCCAGACUCCUACGGGAGGCAGCAGUGGGGAAUAUUGCACAAUGGGCGGAAGCCUGAUGCAGCAACGCCGCGUGCGGGAUGACGGCCUUCGGGUUGUAAACCGCUUUCGCCUGUGACGAAGCGUGAGUGACGGUAAUGGGUAAAGAAGCACCGGCUAACUACGUG
rnacentral:rRNA from 1 species